rnacentral:rRNA from 1 species
AUUGAACGCUAGCGGGAUGCUUUACACAUGCAAGUCGAACGAGUGGCGGACGGGUGGGUAAUAUAUCGGAACGUGCCCAGUAGCGGGGGAUAACUACUCGAAAGAGUGGCUAAUACCGCAUCAUGUUGGGGCGGCCGAUAUCGGAUUAGCUAGGUGGUGGGGUAAAGGCUAACCAAGGCAACGAUCCGUAGCUGGUUUGAGGGGACGAGCAGCCACACGGGGAUGGAGACACGGCCCAGACUCCUACGGUAGGCAGCAGUGGGGAAUGUUGGACAAUGGGGGAAACCCUGAUCCAGCCAUCCCGCGUGUAUGAGAAGGCCUUCGGGUUGUAAAGUACUUUUGGCAGAGAAGCGGUAUCUGCAGAAUAAGCACCGGCUAACUACGUGCCAGCAGCCGCGGUAAUAC